GCCCAGCCAUAAACUUUUACUUACACCUUAAAUCGCCAGGGAACUACGAGCUAAGCUUAAAACCCAAAGGACUUGACGGUACCCCAAAUCCCCCUAGAGGAGCCUGUCCUAUAAUCGAUAACCCACGUUUUACCUCACCAUUUCUAGCCCAUCCGCCUGUAUACCUCCGUCGUCAGCUUACCACGUGAGCGAAAAUCAGUGAGCUUAAUGCUAUUUCACCAAUACGUCAGGUCAAGGUGCAGCAAAUGAAAUGGAAAGAGAUGGGCUACACUUUCUAAUUUAGAAGAGACGAAAAACUACUUAUGAAAUCUAGUUGGAAGGCGGAUUUAGCAGUAAAAUGAAAUCAGCAUGUUCAUCUUAACUCGGCACUGGGGUGUGUACACACCGCCCGUCACCCU
rnacentral:rRNA from 1 species